rfam:Pristionchus pacificus strain PS312 contig12919, whole genome shotgun sequence.
UCUUCAUUUUCCACACUCUCUCAACGGUCAGAGUGGCGAGAGAGUGCGCGAAAUGAAGAGA